rnacentral:rRNA from 1 species
UACGUAGGGUGCGAGCGUUAAUCGGAAUUACUGGGCGUAAAGCGUGCGCAGGCGGUUGUGUAAGCCAGACGUGAAAUCCCCGGGCUUAACCUGGGAAUGGCGUUUGGGACUGCACGGCUUGAGUGUGGCAGAGGGGACUAGAAUUCCUGGUGUAGCAGUGAAAUGCGUAGAUAUCAGGAGGAAUACCGAUGGCGAAGGCAGGUCCCUGGGUUAACACUGACGCUCAUGCACGAAAGCGUGGGGAGCAAACAGG